rnacentral:rRNA from 1 species
UAGGGAAUCUUCCACAAUGGGCGAAAGCCUGAUGGAGCAACGCCGCGUGUGUGAUGAAGGGUUUCGGCUCGUAAAACACUGUUGUAAGAGAAGAAUGAUAUUGAGAGUAACUGUUCAAUGUGUGACGGUAUCUUACCAGAAAGGAACGGCUAAAUACGUGCCAG